GACGAACGCUGGAGGCGAGCUUAACACAUGCAAGUCGAACGAUGAAAUGGAGCUUGCCCCAUGGAUUAGUGGCGAACGGGUGAGUAACACGUGAAUAACCUGCCCUUAAUUUUGGAAUAACCCAGGGAAACCUGGGCUAAUACCGGAUAAGUAAACCUGUGGCAUCACAUGGUUGUGGAAAGUUUUGCGAAUAAGGAUGGAUUCGCGGCCUAUCAGCUUGUUGGUGGGGUAAUGGCUCACCAAGGCGACGACGGGUAGCCGGCCUGAGAGGGUGAACGGCCAGACUGGGACUGAGACACGGCCCAGACUCCUACGGGAGGCAGCAGUGGGGAAUAUUGCGCGAUGGACGAAAGUCUGACGCAGCGACGCCUCGUGAGGGACGAAGGUCUUCGGAUUGUAAACCUCUUUCAGCAGGGACGAAGCGAAAGUGACGGUACCUGCAGAAGAAGCACCGGCUAACUAUGUGCCAGCCGCCGCAGUAA
rnacentral:rRNA from 1 species